AUUGAACGCUGGCGGAAUGCUUUACACAUGCAAGUCGAGCGGCAGCACGGGGGCAACCCUGGUGGCGAGCGGCGAACGGGUGAGUAAUACAUCGGAACAUGCCCAGUCGUGGGGGAUAACACUUCGAAAGAAGUGCUAAUACCGCAUACGUCCUGAGGGAGAAAGCGGGGGAUCGCAAGACCUCGCGCGAUUGGAGUGGCCGAUGUCAGAUUAGCUAGUUGGUGGGGUAAAGGCCUACCAAGGCAACGAUCUGUAGCUGGUCUGAGAGGAUGAUCAGCCACACUGGGACUGAGACACGGCCCAGACUCCUACGGGAGGCAGCAGUGGGGAAUUUUGGACAAUGGGGGCAACCCUGAUCCAGCCAUUCCGCGUGAGUGAAGAAGGCCUUCGGGUUGUAAAGCUCUUUCGGCAGGAACGAAACGGUGAGCUCUAACAUAGCUUGCUAAUGACGGUACCUGAAGAAGAAGCACCGGCUAACUACGUGCCAGCAGCCGCUGUAACAC
rnacentral:rRNA from 1 species